AUUGAACGCUGGCGGCAUGCCUUACACAUGCAAGUCGAACGGCAGCGCGGGGCAACCUGGCGGCGAGUGGCGAACGGGUGAGUAAUAUAUCGGAACAUACCCUAGAGUGGGGGAUAACGUAGCGAAAGUUACGCUAAUACCGCAUACGCACUAAGGUGGAAAGUGGGGGAUUCGCAAGAACCUCAUGCUCAUGGAGUGGCCGAUAUCUGAUUAGCUAGUUGGUGAGGUAAAGGCUCACCAAGGCAACGAUCAGUAGCUGGUUUGAGAGAACGACCAGCCACACUGGAACUGAGACACGGUCCAGACUCCUACGGGAGGCAGCAGUGGGGAAUUUUGGACAAUGGGGGCAACCCUGAUCCAGCAAUGCCGCGUGAGUGAAGAAGGCC
rnacentral:rRNA from 1 species